rnacentral:rRNA from 1 species
CCUACGGGAGGCAGCAGUAAGGAAUAUUGGUCAAUGGAGGGAACUCUGAACCAGCCAUGCCGCGUGCAGGAUGACUGCCCUAUGGGUUGUAAACUGCUUUUGUUAGGGAAUAAACCUAUCUACGUGUAGAUAGCUGAAUGUACCUAAAGAAUAAGGAUCGGCUAACUCCGUGCCAGCAGCCGCGGUAAU